rnacentral:rRNA from 1 species
GGGGUAGUGUGGGCGAAGCCUGAUGGAGCACGCCGCGUGCAGGAUGAAUGUCUUCGGAUUGUAAACUGCUUUUCUUUGUGACGAUUAUGACGGUAGCAGAGGAAUAAGGGACUGCUAACUACGUGCCAGCAGCCGCGGUCAUACGUAGGUCCCAAGCGUUAUCCGGAAUUACUGGGCGUAAAGAGUUGCGUAGGUGGCAGAGUAAGUCUGUAGUGAAAGCGUGUGGCUCAACCACAUAUACAUUAUAGAAACUGCUCAGCUAGAGGAUGAGAGAGGUCACUGGAAUUCCUAGUGUAGGAGUGAAAUCCGUAGAUAUUAGGAGGAACACCGAUGGCGUAGGCAGGUGACUGGCUUAUUCCUGACACUAAGGCACGAAAGCGUGGGUAGCAAACGGGAUUAGAUACCCCGGUAGUCCACGCCGUAAACUAUGGAUGCUAGCUGUUAGAGGUAUCGACCCCUCUAGUAGCGAAGCUAACGCGUUAAGCAUCCCGCCUGUGGAG